rnacentral:rRNA from 1 species
UUAUGGCUCAGGAUGAACGCUAGCUACAGGCUUAACACAUGCAAGUCGAGGGGCAGCAUGAAGUUGCUGCAAACUUGAUGGCGACCGGCGCACGGGUGAGUAACGCGUAUCCAACCUUCCCUAUACUAGAGGAUAGCCCGGCGAAAGUCGGAUUAAUACUCUAUGUUCUUCGUAGAAGACAUCUGAAAUGAAGCAAAGGUUUACCGGUAUAGGAUGGGGAUGCGUCUGAUUAGGUUGUUGGCGGGGUAGCGGCCCACCAAGCCCACGAUCAGUAGGGGUUCUGAGAGGAAGGUCCCCCACAUUGGAACUGAGACACGGUCCAAACUCCUACGGGAGGCAGCAGUGAGGAAUAUUGGUCAAUGGACGAGAGUCUGAACCAGCCAAGUAGCGUGCAGGAUGACGGCCCUAUGGGUUGUAAACUGCUUUUAUACAGGGAUAAAGUGACGUACGUGUACGUUUUGUAGGUACUGUAUGAAUAAGGACCGGCUAAUUCCGUGCCAGCAGCCGC